CUUUUUAUAUCUUGUACAAUUGCUAUGGUUUCUUUUCAAGGAUAUUUGUAUUAAAGAGAAAUUCUAGGAACAACCGCCCCUGCGUCCCCGCCACGGAACUGGCUCAGUAGCUAAUAUUAUUAAAAAAAAAAAAAGAAACAUCCUAUACGCGGAAAGGAGGGAAAUCAAAACAAAAACACAAAUUGCUUGACUCCAGCUAACGGCUCAUGAGAUUGACUACGAUAUUUGAACUUCAAGAUGGAAUAUCACAUCCAUAGACCAUCUCAAACCUGCUUAUGAUAAAGUAAUAGCGUUGACUAGCAAGCUAUGAUGGAAGUAUGACAAACAAGGAUCAUUUACAUGUAUCUGUUUCAACUCCUCAUUAGGAUAGAUGUUGAAUAAUAAACAAACUACAAAAUCUUCUAGUUCCAGGAGCCUAGACCCGAGAAGAAGAUCUCCAACCAAAGAAUUAAAACACAGGCUGACAUAGAACAAGAAAUUACCUCAAGAACAAAUAC